CCUGAUUGGCUGGGACCACAGGCAGGACACAAUUGGUUGGGACGCUUCCUACAUCCAAAGACAUCCAGUUUGGUGAAUCUGUGUCUCUAAAUUGCUCUUGGAUUUUUAACCCCGUGAUGGAGAGGCGUCCCAUUCAGGCCGUACCUGCUCUUGUGCCCUGUGCUUCCUGUGAUAGGCCCACCAUAACCCUGUAGCGGCUGUGCACUUACAAGUUGAAUGAGGACACAAUUUUGGGAGGAGUAAAAGCUAAGAGACAUAUCUCAAGGAAGUCGACGGGGGUGACAGAUUGUGUUUUAGCACUCUGGCAGAAGCCCAACAAAACCAAACAAGAUCCCAGUGCU